rnacentral:rRNA from 1 species
UAAGGAAUAUUGGUCAAUGGACGCAAGUCUGAACCAGCCAUGCCGCGUGGAGGAUGAAGGUCCUCUGGAUUGUAAACUUCUUUUAUCUGGGACGAAACACUCCUUUUCUAAGGGGCCUGACGGUACCAGAUGAAUAAGCACCGGCUAACUCCGUGCCAGCAGCCGCGGUAAGACAGAGGGUGCAAACGUUGUUCGGAAUUACUGGGCGUAAAGCGUGUGUAGGCGGUCCUCUAAGUCGGGUGUGAAAGCCCUGGGCUCAACCCAGGAAGUGCACUCGAAACUGGAGGGCUAGAGUAUCGGAGAGGUUGGUGGAAUUCUCGGUGUAGAGGUGAAAUCGUAGAUAUCGAGAGGAACACCGGUGGCGAAGGCGGCCAACUGGACGAAUACUGACGCUGAGACACGAAAGCGUGGGGAGCAAACAGGAUUAGAUACC